rnacentral:rRNA from 1 species
ACUAAACAGGAUUCUCUUAGUAACGGCGAGUGAAAAGAGAUUAGCCCAACAUCGAAGUUAGCAUACACUUUGUGUGUUUAACAUUGUGAUGUUAAGAGGCAUGCUUUCAUAGACUGGCCGACUUGAAGUCCAAUUUUGAAUGUGGCAUUAUGUGUUGACCCAAUGAUGGUGAAAGGCCCGUUCACGUUGGUUGUUAGAUGCGACAGUUCUAUGUAUAAGCGUGCCUCUUGGAGUCGGAUUGCUUGAGAGUGCAGUCCAAAUUUGGUGAUAAACUCCACCUAAGGCUAAAUACCUGUACGAGUCCGAUAGCCAACAAGUACCGUGAGGGAAAGUUGAAAAGUACUCUGAAGAGAGAGUAAAUAGUACGUGAAACUACUCGGAGGUUAAUCAGAUGGAGUCAAGCUGCUU